rnacentral:rRNA from 1 species
AGUCGAACGGCAGCAUAGGUGCUUGCACCUGAUGGCGAGUGGCGAACGGGUGAGUAAUGCAUCGGAACGUGCCCAACUGUGGGGGAUAGCUCGGCGAAAGCCGGAUUAAUACCGCAUACGAUCCACGGAUGAAAGCGGGGGACCUUCGGGCCUCGCGCGAUUGGAGCGCCCGAUGUUAGAUUAGGUAGUUGGUGGGGUAAAGGCUCACCAAGCCAACGAUCUAUAGCUGGUCUGAGAGGACGACCAGCCACACUGGAACUGAGACACGGUCCAGACUCCUACGGGAGGCAGCAGUGGGGAAUUUUGGACAAUGGGCGAAAGCCUGAUCCAGCAAUACCGCGUGCAGGAAGAAGGCCCUCGGGUUGUAAACUGCUUUUGUACGGAACGAAACGGCGUGCUCUAAUAAAGUGCGCUAAUGACGGUACCGUAAGAAUAAGCACCGGCUAACUACGUGCCAGCAGCCGCGGUAAUACGUAGGGUGCGAGCGUUAAUCGGAAUUACUGGGCGUAAAGCGUGCGCAGGCGGUUUUGUAAGACAGGCGUGAAAUCCCCGGGCUCAACCUGGGAAUUGCGCUUGUGACUGCAAGGCUAGAGUACGGUAGAGGGGGGUAGAAUUCCGCGUGUAGCAGUGAAAUGCGUAGAUAUGCGGAGGAACACCGAUGGCGAANGCAGCCCCCUGGACCUGUACUGACGCUCAUGCACGAAAGCGUGGGGAGCAAACAGGAUUAGAUACCCUGGUAGA